CUUUACAUUAAGUGGAGUAUAAAAUAAACAUUACACAUUUUAAUAGCCUUAUCAAAUGUUUACAUUAUUAAGCAUAGAGGACUUCCAGUCCUGGAGAAACUCUGCAUGCCCUUACAUACCCGCUCGUGCAUUAGUCAACAUCUCACUUUCUCACUAUGGCCUGUGUUCAAAUUAGAAUAUCCACAUGUACAUGAAUUGGAAUAAUUCCAAAUUGGAGUGGAAAUCUACAUCUGCUCCUUAUAAGAAUCUAUUCAAUGAAAUGUGUGUGAGCUCUGGUUUGAUACAUUAUUUAUUUUAUUUAUAAAAUAUUUUACCAGGAAAGAUACAUUGAAAUUUAUCUCAUUUUUAAGUAUGUCCUGGGUCCACAAAACAUUGUAUUGAUACAACAGGGUACAAUAAAAUACAAAAACAAUAUUAAUACACAAUAAAUACAAAAUUUAACAUAGGACAGGUAGGAAAUAUAUAAUCAACCAUGACACGUGCAUUCUGUUUUGAGGUAUGUAGAGAGGGAUCUCUUAAAGGACUUUAAGCUUGGGGAAGAUUUGAAAGUGUGAAAUUUUGCUCACCUACUUUUUAAAGAGUGCAAUUUUGCAUAUGGCUAGAGCGCUUUAUGUACAUUUUCAUAAUUCCUGUCUGGCCAGUGUUGUCUGUAUGAGCUGUAACACAGUUCAUUUUGUUGGGAGAAAGUGAGUGUUGGGCACGACUGGUCGCAUAAAAUAUUAGCGAAUACUGCCGUUUUAGACAAGUAUCAGCACAGGAAACCUCAUAGGCUUUAUUAAACAAAGCAAUUGUUUAUUUACUACUUGCUAUUAUAAAACAAAAAAAUGAUUGGGUA